rnacentral:rRNA from 1 species
GAUGAACGCUAGCUACAGGCUUAACACAUGCAAGUCGAGGGGAAACGACAUUGAAGCUUGCUUCGAUGGGCGUCGACCGGCGCACGGGUGAGUAACGCGUAUCCAACCUGCCUCUGACUAAGGGAUAACCCGGCGAAAGUCGGACUAAUACCUUAUGAGGUUUUCUGCAGACAUCUAACGAAAACGAAAGAUUUAUCGGUCAGAGAUGGGGAUGCGUCUGAUUAGCUUGUUGGCGGGGUAACGGCCCACCAAGGCAACGAUCAGUAGGGGUUCUGAGAGGAAGGUCCCCCACAUUGGAACUGAGACACGGUCCAAACUCCUACGGGAGGCAGCAGUGAGGAAUAUUGGUCAAUGGGCGAGAGCCUGAACCAGCCAAGUAGCGUGCAGGAUGACGGCCCUAUGGGUUGUAAACUGCUUUUAUGUGGGGAUAAAGUGAGCUACGUGUAGUUUAUUGCAGGUACCACAUGAAUAAGGACCGGCUAAUUCCGUGCCAGCAGCCGCGGUAAUACGGAAGGUCCAGGCGUUAUCCGGAUUUAUUGGGUUUAAAGGGAGCGUAGGCCGUGGAUUAAGCGUGUUGUGAAAUGUAGACGCUCAACGUCUGAAUUGCAGCGCGAACUGGUUCACUUGAGUAUGCACAACGUAGGCGGAAUUCGUCGUGUAGCGGUGAAAUGCUUAGAUAUGACGAAGAACUCCGAUUGCGAAGGCAGCUUACGGGAGCACAACUGACGCUGAAGCUCGAAGGUGCGGGUAUCAAACAGG